GGCGGCGAGGGCCGGCGGGCGGGCACGCCAGGCUGGGGGCGACGGCGAGGGGCCGCGAGCGGAGGGCGCCGGGCGCAGCAUGGGCGGCCCGCGGGCCUGGGCGCUGCUCUGCUUCGGGCUCCUGCUCCCCGGAGGCAGCGCCGCGUGGAGCGUCGGCGGAGCCCCGUUCUCUGCACGCAGGAACUGGUGCUCAUACGUGGUGACCCGCACCGUCUCCUGCCAUGUGCAGAAUGGCACCUACCUUCAGCGAGUGCUGCAGAAUUGUCCCUGGCCUAUGAGCUGCCCUGGGAACAGCUACAGGACCGUGGUGAGACCCACAUACAAGGUGAUGUACAAGACGGUGACGGCUCGCGAGUGGAGGUGCUGCCCCGGGUACUCGGGGGCAAGCUGCGAGGAAGUUUCAGGCUCCUCUGGCUUCGUGGAGCCCGGGUGGCCGGGCAGUGCCAUGCGGCGGAUGGCACUUCGGCCCACAGCCUUCUCAGGUUGUCUCAACUGCAGCAAAGUGUCGGAGCUGACGGAGCGGCUAAAGGUGCUGGAGGCCAAGGUGGCGGUGCUGACUGCCACCGAGCGGGCAGUGCCCCCAACCCCAGCUGCCCCCGAGGACCCCGCCCCGCUCUGGGGCUCCCCAGCUGCCCAGGGCAGCCCUGGGGAUGGAGGCUUCCGAGGGCUCCCGGGAGCCAGAGAAAACGCGAGGGCCCCGCUGCUCCCUGGAGAUGAUCGAGCUGGUGCCCGGGGGCUUCCUGGGCCCACUGGCCCGAAGGGAGACCCUGGCAGCCGGGGCCCGAUGGGCAUGAGAGGCCCACCAGGUCUGCAGGGCCCCCCAGGGAGCCCUGGCCAGGCUGGAGCUGUGGGCGCCCCUGGAGAGAGGGGACCUCCAGGCCCCCCGGGGCCUCCAGGGCCUCCUGGCCCCCCAGCCCCUGUUGGACCACCCUACGCCCGGAUCUCCCAGCAUGGGGAACCAUUCCUGUCCAACACCUUCACUGAGACCAGCAGCCACUGGCCCCAGGGACCGGCUGGCCCCCCAGGGCCCAUGGGUCCUCCUGGACCUCCUGGUCCCAUGGGCAUCCCUGGGAGUCCUGGACACAUGGGACCUCCAGGCCCCUCUGGACCCAAAGGAAUCUCUGGCCACCCAGGAGAGAAGGGCGAGAGAGGACUGCGUGGGGAGCCCGGCCCUCAAGGCUCCAUGGGGCAGCGGGGGGAACCUGGCCCCAAAGGAGACCCUGGUGACAAGAGCCACUGGGGGGAGGGGUUGCACCAACUACGCGAGGCUUUGAAGAUUUUAGCUGAAAGGGUUUUAAUCUUGGAAACAAUGAUUGGGCUCUACGGCUCCUAGCUUACAGAGCUUCCUGCAGCAGCAGGCUCAGCUGGAGCUCCUGGCCAGACGGGUCACCCUGCUGGAAGCCAUCAUCUGGCCAGAACCAGAGGGGUCAGGGGCAGGCCCUGCCGGCACAGGCACCCCCAGCCUCCUGCGGGGCAAGAGGGGAGGAUACGCAGCCAACUACCGGAUCAUGGCCCCCAGGAGCCGAAACGAGAGAGACUGAGGGUGGUGGCGGCCCCUCCGGUAUGGCCGGACCAGGCUUCCCUGCCCAGCCUGGAUGUGGCCAGCUGCCUCCAGGGUCCGUACGUCCAUAUUUAUUAAUAUCCUCAGGGUCCCUUCUGCCACCUAGGCCUUUGGGGUAGGCAGGUCUUGGUUCUGGCACCCCGUGCACAUCUGCCUCCCAUGGGGCUGAGCAGGGACUGGGGCCUGAGAGGGAGGCGAGGCUCAGGGCCCUGGGCCCAUUUCCCUCUGUGAAGGGGCGGGGCCGGCCUGCGGGGAGGGCGUGGCAGUCGGCAGCUCCUGUCUCAUCUACUGCCCCGCCUUCUAGGCCCCAAGCAGCUGAGAGUCGGAACUCCCUCAGGCACAGGCAGGGGUGAUGGGGCGCAGUGUCGCCACCCCUCCUCCCCAGCCAGGCCUGGGGGCGAGCCUGUACCUCUCCUCCCUUUGUUUUCCGGUGCUGUUUUCUCUGAGGUCAAGCUACCUGAUCUGACUGAGACCUCCUAGUCUCAGUUUUGACCCCUGAACCCUCAGUCCCUCCCAUGGCCGGGUAGUGGGUGCAUGGAGAGGGGAGGGCCACCUGCUCCCACAAAUGCUUGUGACAGACACCAGGAGGUAGAUGUAUAUCAGCCAAUAAAGGCCCCCAGCCCGAUUCCCCA